UUGCGCUUGCCAGGCAAGUGCUUUGCCGCUGAGCUAAAUCCCCAGCCCCUAAAAUUGUCUUUUUGGAAACCAGUCCUGGCACCAAAAUAGUUGGCAGCAAUUGGAGUGUAGGGUCGGGCGCCAUGUGAGGAUGCAUCCACCAUGUCCCCCAGUGUGAGUGCGUGAUUAUAACGUACCUGAAAAAUGCAUAUAGUCUACAGUGUGUUUUAAGUUGAUUGUUAUUACAAGAGAGUUACAAAGUUUAAAAAUUAAAAGUUUGCCAGGCAUGGUGGUGCAUACCUGUAAUCCCAGCACUCAGGAGGCUGAGGCAGGAGGAUCUUUGCAAGUUUGAGACCAGCCUGGGCUACAAAAUGAGCUCAAGGCCAGCCUGAACUGUAUAGCAAGACCCUGUCUCAAAAAGAAACAUACAAAAAACCAAACCAAACCAAAAAAGAACAAACAAAAACCCACAAAAAAACCAAAAAACACAGCCAAGGAGAAUAUUUUGAGCCCGGUGUGGUGGCACACACCUGUAAUCCCAGCACUCGGGGGGCUGAGGCAGGAGGAUCUUUGCAAGUUUGAGACCAGCCUGGGCUACAAAAUGAGCUCAAGGCCAGCCUGGACUACAAAGGUAGUUCAAGGCCAGCCUGAACUGCAUAGUGAAACCCUGUCUCAAAAAGACAAAAAAAAAAAGUUCAUGAAUUUAAAAGUUACAGUGAGCUAAAGUUAUAAACUUAGCAUAGCCUAUGUGGAUAGUGUUUAUGACGUCUGCACUCAGGUGCAGCAGUGCUGCAGACCUGGGUGUUCACUGGCCAUGCACUCACUGAGUGACCCGGAGCAACUGCAGCCCUGCAGCUCCACUCACGGGAAGGGCCCAAUGCAGGGCGCAUUUUCAAUCUUAAUGCCGUAGUUUACUGUACAUUCUCUGUGUCUGGAUGUGUUCACACACGGAAAUACCAUGGUGCUGCAGUUGACCCCACUUGAAUCCUGUUUUCCCUGAGGGACAGAAGCAGUCAGAGACGCGGCCCUUCUCCUGGGACUGUCAGCCUUGUGUUUCCUGUGGCACGGUGGAAACCACACUGGCUGAGGAGAAAGAGCCCCGAGUCUGCUCCACAGUCGCCACGUGCUGACCUUUCCGCCCCUAAACAUCUCAUUUCCCCUCACUGUAAAACUGGGAAUGAUUUUCUCAUCCAUUGUCACCCGGAAGCUGUGACACUUCCUGGGCGUCGUGGCUUUCUGCAGCUUCACCUCUCUACUGUGAUUUUCUCAAAGUCAGAGGAGAGGAGAGGAGAGAAGGAAGCCACGCAUGUACCUUGGACCCACAGUGGGGCAGUGGGCAAGUUUGUAAUGGACCACAGUCCCCUGUGCCCCAGAGAGCAGGGUCUGCCAGGCCACUCUGUGGAAAUGGUCACUGUGGGCCACAGCUUCAAGGGAGGAGCUGCUGUGAAUCAUCUUCCUCGAGAAUCUCUCGCUAAGUCCUCACUGUCUUACACAUGUCCUUCCAUAGCUCUCCCGCCUGGUUUCUUAUUUCAGCUACUUUUCAUUAAUUCCACAUUGUGUCCGUUCUCUUCCAACAGGCUGAGACAGAAUGAGGCUCCUUGCUGGGAUCUGGAAUGAAGAACAGGCUCUGACCUGGCUCCACACCAUUACUCACACGGAGAUGGUUCCCCUCCCUGCCCUUUCCUCAUCUCUGUGACUUCUACCACCCAGCAGUGCCGCUAACCACAAGUGUUUCUGGACAGAAAGAACACUGUGCUGACCCCGGACAGGAGCCCCCGUCUCUGAGCUUCCCCUCCCGCGCCCUGUGUGCUAGUGCGGCUCUGAGCCUGGGCUGCAGGGCUGGAGAGGCGGCAUCGUGCAGUGAACGGAUGCACAGAAUCCACAACCAAAACAAAACCAGGAGGGGUGGGUCCCGGGUGAACAGUGCACAGGCUGUGUGACCUGCAGCUAUUCAUUAACCUUUGUGACUAUCCACUUCCUUAUCAUAAAGUAUGUGUAAUAAAAUGCAUACUGAAUGCAUCCUUGUUAGGAAGGUAUGAAAUUAUGUGUGAAAGACUCUGACUCACUCGUUUUCUACUAAAUUUCAGUUCACUAUCUCUUGUUCAGGCGUAGGAAUCAUUAGCUUAACAUAAUUGAUCUCCCCAAACCUUCCAAACUUUCUCCCUUAAAUUCUCCUUCUCUGAUUUCAUUGUAGUUUAACCUUAGUCACACUUGUUGUAUUCAUAUGUGAGAAACCCAAAAUGCAAAUGAAGAGCCAAAUAAAGGAAGUGGUACAUAGAUGACUGGGCCAGAGCAUUUCAG
ensembl:lincRNA